UACGGAGGGUGCAAGCGUUGUCCGGAAUCACUGGGCGUAAAGCGCACGUAGGCGGCUUUGUAAGUUAGAGGUGAAAGCCCAGGGCUUAACCCUGGAAUUGCCUUUAAGACUGCAUCGCUAGAAUCGUGGAGAGGUGAGUGGAAUUCCGAGUGUAGAGGUGAAAUUCGUAGAUAUUCGGAAGAACACCAGUGGCGAAGGCGACUCACUGGACACGUAUUGACGCUGAGGUGCGAAAGCGUGGGGAGCAAACAGG
rnacentral:rRNA from 1 species